rnacentral:lncRNA from 1 species
UAUUACUUUUUUUUUGUAGCUACAGAAACGGAACUUCUCUCCCGCUUUACAGUCCUGAUAUGUACCUUAGACUAUUCUUUACACAAGAGAUAGGUUUCUGGAGCCAUAGAGCCUGCAAGACAGAACUGCAGCCAUUGAAGUCCAUCUCAUUAGGGGGAAAGCAGUUUCUGCAUGCAUUCAGCUACCAGUAACUUCAGUUAGUACCUUGUCUGGAGUGUUCCUGCAACUAUCAUUUUUUCUCUUCUCUAGAACUGACUGCUUUCUCAAAUCUAUCUUUGCAAGCAGACUACCUUCCCAUCAAAUUGGGGAAAAUGAUACACAAAUUAAAAAAAAAAAAAAAAAGCAGCUUUCAUCUUUUUAUUGCUGUUCUAACAGCCUCUCUAAACCUCCAGUAUCUGAGGAGAAAGCAUCAUAUCUUCAGUUGGAAAAUAAGAAGCAACCUUAAUUCUUAUACAAGGCAGAUGUACAGACUUGCCUAGAAGACAGUAUCAAAAGAACUUGCUAAUUUUUAUUAUUUUCACGCAGUGGAAUGCAUUAAAUUACUUUUCAUAACUCUGAAAUUGUUAUUGUUCAUCUGUUACUGGAGAUCAGUGGGAAUAUUGUGUUUCCUGGUGCCCAACACUCGGGGUUUUCAUGGAAAGAGG